CUCUCAUCUCCUCUUAGCUUCACCGCCAAAAUCCAGCCGCUAAUCACCAUUGAACGCACUCUAAAAAAUAUUCUGAAAACCAGUCCAAUCCAGCCCCAAAAUCAGCUAAAAACGCUCAAAACAACAGCUCAAAAUUGAUACCAUUCGAGUUCGAGUUCUGUCAAGGUCGCCGACAUAGUUUUGCAAUCGAGUGAAGUGUAGAGCCUCAGUUAACGCCUGCUCAUUUUCACUCACGGCGUGCUCGUCGUUGUAUAUCGUUCGGAGCUGCCGCAAAAUUUUGCAAGUUAAUAAAAGGUCCAUGUUUAUCUAUUGUUCUAUAUUAUGAUUGAUCUGAUUUUUUUUUCUCCAGUUAAAUGAUAUGUUUGUUAAAUGAAUUUGGUGGUUGUUUGAACAGAUCAAAACCACUAAAAUAUAAG
rnacentral:lncRNA from 1 species